UACGGAGGGAGCUAGCGUUGUUCGGAAAUACUGGGCGUAAAGCGCACGUAGGCGGCGCAGCAAGUCAGGGGUGAAAUCCCGGGGCUCAACCCCGGAACUGCCCUUGAAACUGCAGUGCUAGAAUUCUGGAGAGGCGAGUGGAAUCCGAGUGUAGAGGUGAAAUUCGUAGAUAUUCGGAAGAACACCAGUGGCGAAGGCGACUCGCUGGACAG
rnacentral:rRNA from 1 species